rnacentral:sRNA from 1 species
AAUCGAGAAAUCGAGAAAUCGAGAAAUUGCGAAAUCGGGAAAUCGGGCAAUCGAGAAGGCAAAAAUACUUUUCGUUUUUGUGUUUUCGCGUUUUUGCUUUCUCGAUUUCUCGAUUUCCUUAUUUCUCGAUUUCCCUAUUUCCCGAUUUCUCAAUUU